GCGCAUCUAAUCUCCUCCGCAUCGGGCGGCACCUCUCGUCACAACGUAACCCACCGCCGGCUCUCUCCCUUCCGCGAAUCCCUCCGCUCUCCACCGUGCCCCGCCGCAAUACGCUUCGUCCCCAUGUAGCCAAUCCCUCGCGCAAUCACUCGUCGUCAGGUCGCCGUCAUCUCGCUCCGGAGGCGCCGCUGCGCCCCCACGCCGCCGAUCCCUCGCCACUAGGUCACCGUUGUGCCGCGUCACCAGUGGCACCCUCAGGCACCGCUGUCUGAUCUCCAUCGACGACCACCACAUCUCGCCUCCGUCUGCGCUCCUCCAGCCGGCCGAUCUUGCCUCCAUAUGUGCCGUCGCAAAGGAUCUAGCUAACGCUUGAGAAGGGAGGAUAUCAAGAUCUUGCUGGCGUAAGAAACCGAUGUUGAUGAACAGGUCAUGCUUCACUGCCCAAUUCUGCUCUAUCAUUGAGGAUUUUGACACUUUUUUACCCACCUCGACACCAUAUCCUUUCCAAACUACAUAAUGCUAUCUUCAGAUAAGUGCACAUAACUACAACUUAAUUUGUGUUGACCCCUUAAUUACCGUAAAAAAUGAUUUGUUAAUUUGUAUUUUUGGCUGCCAACAGCUCCCUGUGAAGGUCAUCAAGUAUGUCUGUUAGUCAGCAUAUAGGAUAUUUUACUUAAUUUAUAAAAGCUAGGAUAUUUUACUUAAAUUAUAAAAGCUGCUCAUGUAAGUUGUGUCCUUAUUUAGUCAAUACAGUUAAGCACAUGAUGUAGCAAGCAGAUUCAGAAUGAUGAACUUCAGAACAAUUCAGAAAACGAUGAAGUUCAGAGCUCUUUCUCUUACUGAGUUACUGUACUGUGAACGAUGUUUCACUAGCAGAAGGUUAUUCUUGAAUGCUCUUUUGUAUUAGCUAAUAGCUUCUUAGGUAUUAUUUUACCUAUACUAUUAAUAGUUCCGAUAGAGCUGUCAAUUUUUAUCAGGGUAUACUACUCUCUAUUCUCUAGGACAGCCAUAUAUCUUUGAGAAUAUUGAUUUUAUUCCCCCUAUUUGUAUUAGAUUAUCCAUAUAGAGACUGCUGUUGGCCAUGAAUUUAUCCCAUAGCAUUUGUGCGCAUGGAAAUGUGCUGAAUUUUUUUCACAGUGAUUCACAAAUAUAAUCUAUUGAGUUGAUCAUAUUAUUCAAAAGCUUCUUUUGAUUUCUACCUAUGUCCUUUCUAUUGAUCACUAUACAGGACCACCACCAUCGUACCUCGCCAAUCACGACAACAGAGGCUGCAGCCUUCAUCCUUCCAUCCAUAUAACCUUAGGCCAUUGCCCAGCCAUGACAAUUUGUUACUCUUAACUGCAUUUGAGAACUAAUUAAUUUGUUUCUUAACGCAUGCAUUGCAGCAGGGCAUCGCAUGCUUAUUCUUCCCAGUUACCAGGAAAAACUAAUCCAGUGGAACAAUUAUGAACAACUCACAUCUGAAUAACUCUUUGUAGCAUUUACAAGUGGAAGCAAAUAAUUUAUGGCGUUGAGUUGAGGUAAAAUGAAAAUUCGGAAGGGUAUACUUACAGGACUACCGUGAAUUUGGACUCAGGUCCACAAGGGGACUGUAAAGUCGUUUGCUUAAUUUAUAUUUCCUAUUUCCAAAUUUCCUGGUAAGUCAGAUGAUAUAUUUUGCUUAGAGAUAUCCCUGUUACGGAUUCUUUCACAUCAACAUGCAUAUCCAAAACUAACUGGAGUGCUCCAGCAAUUGAUCUGAUAGGUUUUGCUGUUUACUAUGUUAGCUCUGUUCCAUUAAUUAGCACUGGAUUGAAAUUAAUACCUUGACCAUACUUUGCUCGGAGUUGGGAUGAAAUCACCACUGGGUUAAUUUUGUGAUGGCAUAUCCAUCUAGCCAUAUGGCCAACUACAUAGAGGAAUAACUAUGUAUUUAUUUGCUUACAGAAGUGAAAUGCUCUGCUGGGUAAAAAUGAUUAAUAUGGUCAAGGGAUUUUUGUUUGGCGUAUAUUGUUCGAUGCAAUAGAUAUUUGGUUGUAUUGCUGACAAAAAUGUUUGAUAUAAAAUUUUAUUGAUUCAUGUAGAUUAACAAUUGAUUCCACAAGCAAACGAAAGAGUGUGUUUUUUAGACAUUUAUUAUGGGUACACUUGCUAUUAUUUACUAAGGAGGUGUUUCUUAAUUUUCAAUCCCAUUGUUACUUGAGGUGCUGUUAAGGAGGGAAGAUGUUGGAACUGCCAAGAAGGCUGAGCUCCAAUUGGUCUACUGCUCCUUCAUUGGCGAGAUCAGCCUCAACCUGCGUUUGUGGAAGUUUGACAUGUUAAAUAGCCCGGUUGACUUGGUGUUGUAUCACAUUCUGUUGGCGAUAGUUUUUUAUUAUUUAGCCCAAAAGACAAUCGAUUAAUUUUGUAAAACUGAAUCAUUAUUAGCAUUUUUUUGUCAGUGCUAUAUAUGGUGAUAGAUUAAUGUGAUUAGUUACUUUGGUCACAUUGCAAUGUAAGAUGACGUAUGAUCAAUACGUAAUGCAUAUAUAAAAUUAGAUCUCUGCUUUUC